UAAUUAUAUUAUACUAUAUA
rnacentral:miRNA from 1 species